AACGAACGCUGGCGGCGUGGAUUAGGCAUGCAAGUCGAACGCAUCAUUUAGCUUUUUCGAAUGAUGAGUGGCGAAAGGGUGAGUAACGCGUGGGCAACCUGCCCUAAAGUGGGGGAUAACCUGUCGAAAGACGGGCUAAUACCGCAUACGUUUCCAGACUGAAAUGUUUGGAAGGAAAGACGGGGAUUUCUUCGGAAACCUGUCGCUUUUUGAUGGGCCCGCGUCCUAUCAGCUAGUUGGUGAGGAAUGGCUCACCAAGGCGAAGACGGGUAGCUGGUCUGAGAGGAUGGUCAGCCACACUGGGACUGAGACACUGCCCAGACACCUACGGGAGGCAGCAGUGGGGAAUCUUGCGCAAUGGGCGAAAGCCUGACGCAGCGACGCCGCGU
rnacentral:rRNA from 1 species